UACGAAGGGGGCUAGCGUUGCUCGGAAUCACUGGGCGUAAAGGGUGCGUAGGCGGGUCUUUAAGUCAGGGGUGAAAUCCUGGAGCUCAACUCCAGAACUGCCUUUGAUACUGAAAAUCUUGUAGUUCGGGAGAGGUGAGUGGAACUGCGAGUGUAGAGGUGAAAUUCGUAGAUAUUCGCAAGAACACCAGUGGCGAAGGCGGCUCACUGGCCCGAUACUGACGCUGAGGCACGAAAGCGUGGGGAGCAAACAGG
rnacentral:rRNA from 1 species